UACGUAGGGGGCAAGCGUUAUCCGGAUUUACUGGGUGUAAAGGGUGCGUAGGUGGUAUGGUAAGUUGGAUGUGAAAUUUGGGGGCUCAACCCCUAAGCUGCAUCCAAAACUGCUGAACUAGAGUGCAGGAGAGGAAAGCGGAAUUCCGAGUGUAGCGGUGAAAUGCGUAGAUAUUCGGAGGAACACCAGUAGCGAAGGCGGCUUUCUGGACUGUAACUGACACUGAGGCACGAAAGCGUGGGGAGCGAAC
rnacentral:rRNA from 1 species